rnacentral:rRNA from 1 species
AGGAUCAACGCUGGCGGCGUGCCUAACGCAUGUAAGUCGAACGCAGGGUCUUCGGACCUUGAGUGGCGAACGGCUGAGGAACACGUACGAACCUGCCCGCAUGUGGGGAAUAACUCACCGAAAGGUGAGCUAAUACCGCGUACGCUCACACGAGAGUGUGAGGAAAGCUCGCAAGAGCGCAGGCGGAGGGGCGUGCGGCCCAUCAGGUAGUUGGUCGGGUAACGGCCUACCAAGCCUUCGACGGGUAGCUGGUCUGUGAGGACGAUCAGCCAGACUGGGACUGCGAAACGGCCCAGACACCUACGGGUGGCAGCAGCGAGGAAUCUUCCACAAUGGGCGCAAGCCCGAUGGAGCAACGCCGCGUGGAGGACGACGGCCUUCGGGUUGUAAACGUCCGUUUCGGGGGGGAUGAAACGGACACGUACCCCAGAACGAACGCCCCGGCUAACUCUGUGCCAGCGACGCCGC